UGGGGAAUAUUGGACAAUGGGCGAAAGCCUGAUCCAGCCAUGCCGCGUGUGUGAAGAAGGUCUUCGGAUUGUAAAGCACUUUAAGUUGGGAGGAAGGGCAGUAAGCGAAUACCUUGCUGUUUUGACGUUACCGACAGAAUAAGCACCGGCUAACUCUGUGCCAGCAGCCGCGGUAAUACAGAGGGUGCAAGCGUUAAUCGGAAUUACUGGGCGUAAAGCGCGCGUAGGUGGUUCGUUAAGUUGGAUGUGAAAGCCCCGGGCUCAACCUGGGAACUGCAUCCAAAACUGGCGAGCUAGAGUAGGGCAGAGGGUGGUGUAAGUUCCUGUGUAGCGGUGAAAUGCGUAGAUAUAGGAAGGAACACCAGUGGCGAAGGCGACCACCUGGGCUCAUACUGACACUGAGGUGCGAAAGCGUGGGGAGCAAACAGG
rnacentral:rRNA from 1 species